rnacentral:lncRNA from 1 species
AAAUCCUGCUCCAUUUUUCUCUUGACGCUGGUCGGGAAGUAGUGCGCCAGAAGAGGCUCCUUGAACCUCGUCCAAGUAAUCGCUGCCAAGUCGGUGUUGGGGUUGUCCUGGAUAUCCAACCACCAACGGUAGGCCUCGCCGUCGAGAAAGUGAGUGGCGAGCCAAACUCUGUCCCGCUCCUCCACAAAGGUGUCUCGAAAAAGCUUCUCCAUGUGCAUCAACCACUUCUCGACAAUCCAGUGGUCGACGUUCUCGCCAUCAAACGUCCUCGGGCUGCACCUCCUGAACUCACUGAGGAGCUCCAUGAGCCGAUCCCGCUUGGCUCCCUCGGCCCUCACGGGAAAAGCUGCCCCCAUUGCCGGUCUCUGAACUGGGGGUGCCGCAGCCACCUUCUCCCGAGGUGUGGUCGCCGGUGCCGCAUGUGAAGAACUGGGCGCGGGGGACUGCGCCCUCGGUGCGACGUCCACCACGGGUGCUGGCGGUGUGGGAACCUGGGUCUCCCUNNNNNNNNNNNNNNNNNNNNNNNNNUAUAGCCAUCUCUAAUACAAAGUCCUUAAUUUAAACAAAUUUAAAAUUACAGGAUUCUGCAUACACAUCAUACAUCACAUGUCGAAACAAAAAAAAUUAGUUUGCUAUCCAUGAUCAUCACCGUAUCUCAUACAUCACAUGCAUAAUAAUAAACUUUGGAUAUUCUAAUUAACCGUUAACCGAUGAUUCGAAAGAAUAAAUUAUUAAAAAUAAUCAAUCUUAUUGAUUAUUAUAAUUUUGAUCAACAAUUUAAUCUACAAAAAUAACAUCUUGAUCUCAUCAAGAAAUCAAUUUGAUCUAAUCAAAUUAGAUCCAUAUAUAUCUUUUAUUUUAAAAUCGAUCUAAUCAACCUUAAAAAAAAAUUUAAAAUUUUUUAUAAAAAAAAAUUCCGUACGAUUGCUACAGUAGCGUCCGUACGGAUGCUACAGUAGCGUUAGCAUCCGUACGGGGAUGCUACAGUAGCGUCGCUACAGUAAUUUUUUUUUUUUAAAUAGAAACCAUUAGAUUAAAUUGUUGAUCGAUUUAUAAUUUUUGAAUUAGCUAAAAACAAUCUAUAAAUCGUUCUAUCGGCGAAAAAACGGUUUAGAAUACCAAAUUCAUAAUUUUAAUCUUAAAAACAUGAGGAUGGCUCUGAUACCACUGUUAGAAAAUUGCGUACGGUAAAACGCAGCGGAAAAGAAAAUCAAACAAAUUUGAUUUUGAAAACUCUCGAGAUCUAAUCUCAAAACCACGCAAUUAGGAUCCCUCAUGUUCUUUAAGAUUAAAGGAGAAAAGUAAGAUCGAAUCAUUACCUUUUUCGCGGAUAAAUCCUUCCCUCAAUUUGAUGAUCGUGGAAUCGGGUUCUCUUGAAGCCGCACACGCGUCCGGCCUCUAUAGGUAUCCACACGAGGUUCUUGAUUUGAUCGAUGUCCUCACCGGGGUGCUAGCUCCCUUGCAAAAGGACGUCUUUCUUGCUAGAAGAUGGAAGAGAGAAGAGAGGAUAGAUGACGGCUAGGGUUUUCUAAAAACUCCCGUAUAUUAUAUAUAGGAAUAUAAUCCUAUUCCUAAUAAUAUAAUGACAAUUAAGGAUAAGUAUAAAUCUAGAUUUAAAUUUAUCUUUUCCUUAAUUGGUUAGAUCGAUCAAAUCCUAAUUUGAUUCGACUUGAAUUUUAUAUUAAUUUGAUCUUAUCAAAUUAAUAAUGCAACAUUUGCACAUAAGUCCUCUUAUAAUUUACUAACUAUUAGUAAGUCCUCUCUAGUAACAUUUACACUUUAAUACCACUAAUUUGUAACAAUUACAAAUUAGUCCAAUUAUCAACAUAUUGACAAUUAGGUCCUCCGGCGAUUCAAUAAUCGCGAUCUAGCUAUCCGAUCAAUCACAACCUCUUAUGUGUGUGACCCCA